GUACGUGAAACCGCCUAGAGCAAAACGAAUGGGCCUUCGAAUUCCGAUGAUGAAGCAAUUCAGCUUUAAUAGCGUGUGUGCCUUGUUGGUAUAUGUGUUUGCGAUUUUUCGUUUCACUGCCAAUUUUGGUUGCAAGCGUGGUUUUGGCGCAUUUUGCUUUGUCGGUAGGGCGUCGUAACCAGUAGAGUUAAUAAAAAAGCGUUUUGAGGGCUAGAGCGUUGGUAGCAUUUGAGUUUUCGGACUUGAGUGUAAUUUAGCGCCUGGUCUGAAUGAAUCGCUACUUUACUGUGGAACAGUUUUGUACUUUUGCGCAAGAAAACCGGAAGGUACAAAUGCUGCGUGGUUGAUCCACUUUUUGUGGGCGGCUGUGUAGUGUUUGGCUGGUAGCUGGAUUUCUUUUGCUUUUUGUACUUAACGGUUUACGGCGAGUAGGUCGGUAACCCAUUCGACCCGUCUUGAAACACGGACCAAGGAGUGUAACAUGUACGCGAGUCAUUGAGAUCCUGUACCUCAAAGGCGUAAUGAAAUGUAAAGGUCAAUUUAUUUGGCUGAGACGUGAUCUGUUACUCAAAGUAGUAACGGCGCAACGUCCACCCGUUCAAUGUGGACUUGUCCAUAGAGCGGAGUGAGAGCGUACAUGUUGCGACCCGAAAGAUGGUGACCUAUGCCUGGGCAAGAUGAAGCCAGAGGAAACUCUGGUGGAGGUCUGAAGCGAUUCUGACGUGCAAAUCGAUCGUCUGACCUGGGUAUAGGGGCGCAAGACUCAUCGAACCAUCUAGUAGCUGGUUCCCU
rnacentral:rRNA from 1 species